rnacentral:rRNA from 1 species
UGGGGAAUCUUGGACAAUGGGGGGCAACCCGUGAUCCAGCCAUGCCGCGUGAGUGAUGAAGGCCUUAGGGUCGUAAAGCUCUUUCGCCUGUGAAGAUAAUGACGGUAGCAGGUAAAGAAACCCCGGCUAACUCCGUGCCAGCAGCCGCGGUAAUACGGAGGGGGGUUAGCGUUGUUCGGAAUUACUGGGCGUAAAGCGCACGUAGGCGGACCAGAAAGUUGGGGGGUGAAAUCCCGGGGGCUCAACCCCCGGAACUGCCUCCAAAACUAUUGGUCUAGAGUUCGAGAGAGGUGAGUGGAAUUCCGAGUGUAGAGGUGAAAUUCGUAGAUAUUCGGAGGAACACCAGUGGCGAAGGCGGCUCACUGGCUCGAUACUGACGCUGAGGGUGCGAAAAGCGUGGGGGAGCAAACAGGAUUAGAUACCCUGGUAGUCCACGCCGUAAAACGAUGAAUGCCAGACGUCGGGGGGCAUGCCCUUCGGUGUCACACCUAAACGGGAUUAAGCACUCCGCCUGGGGGAGUACGGCCGCAA